AACGAACGCUGGCGGCGUGCUUAACACAUGCAAGUCGAGCGAGGCCCUCCUUCGGGAGGUGUCCUAGCGGCGAACGGGUGAGUAACACGUGGGCAACCUGCCCUCAGCUCUGGGAUAACCCCAAGAAAUUGGGGCUAAUACCGGAUACGACCGCUGACCGCAUGGUCUGGUGGUGGAAAGAUUUAUCGGCUGAGGAUGGGCCCGCGGCCUAUCAGCUUGUUGGUGGGGUAGUGGCCUACCAAGGCGACGACGGGUAGCCGGCCUGAGAGGGUGACCGGCCACACUGGGACUGAGACACGGCCCAGACUCCUACGGGAGGCAGCAGUGGGGAAUAUUGCGCAAUGGGCGGAAGCCUGACGCAGCGACGCCGCGUGGGGGAUGACGGCCUUCGGGUUGUAAACCUCUUUCAGCAGGGACGAAGCGAAAGUGACGGUACCUGCAGAAGAAGCACCGGCCAACUACGUGCCAGCCGCCGCAGUAACAC
rnacentral:rRNA from 1 species